AGUGAACGCUGGCGGUAGGCCUAACACAUGCAAGUCGAGCGGCAGCACAGUAAGAGCUUGCUCUUACGGGUGGCGAGUGGCGGACGGGUGAAGAAUACAUCGGAAUCUACUUUUUCGUGGGGGAUAACGUAGGGAAACUUACGCUAAUACCGCAUACGACCUACGGGUGAAAGCAGGGGAUCUUCGGACCUUGCGCGAUUGAAUGAGCCGAUGUCGGAUUAGCUAGUUGGCGGGGUAAAGGCCCACCAAGGCGACGAUCCGUAGCUGGUCUGAGAGGAUGAUCAGCCACACUGGAACUGAGACACGGUCCAGACUCCUACGGGAGGCAGCAGUGGGGAAUAUUGGACAAUGGGCGCAAGCCUGAUCCAGCCAUACCGCGUGGGUGAAGAAGGCCUUCGGGUUGUAAAGCCCUUUUGUUGGGAAAGAAAAGCAGCAGGUUAAUACCCCGCUGUUCUGACGGUACCCAAAGAAUAAGCACCGGCUAACUUCGUG
rnacentral:rRNA from 1 species